AUUGAACGCUGGCGGCAUGCCUAACACAUGCAAGUCGAACGGGGGUAGCGAUACCCUAGUGGCGGACGGGUGAGGAACGCGUAGGAAUCGGCCCACGAGUGGGGGACAACCUGGGGAAACUCAGGCUAAUACCGCAUGAGCUCGGGAGAGGAAAGCGGGGGAUCUUCGGACCUCGCGCUGGUGGAUGAGCCUACGUCCGAUUAGCUGGUUGGUGAGGUAAAGGCUCACCAAGGCGACGAUCGGUAGCGGGUCUGAGAGGACGACCCGCCACACUGGGACUGAGACACGGCCCAGACUCCUACGGGAGGCAGCAGUGGGGAAUAUUGGACAAUGGGCGCAAGCCUGAUCCAGCAAUGCCGCGUGGGUGAAGACGGCCUGCGGGUUGUAAAGCCCUUUAGGCGGGGAGGAACGACGGAGCGUUAAUACCGUUUCGAAGUGACGUUACCCGCGGAAUAAGCACCGGCUAACUCCGUG
rnacentral:rRNA from 1 species